GAUGAACGCUGGCGGCGUGCCUAAUACAUGCAAGUCGAGCGAGUGGAUUAAGAGCUUGCUCUUAUGAAGUUAGCGGCGGACGGGUGAGUAACACGUGGGUAACCUGCCCAUAAGACUGGGAUAACUCCGGGAAACCGGGGCUAAUACCGGAUAAUAUUUUGAACUGCAUGGUUCAAAAUUGAAAGGCGGCUUCGGCUGUCACUUAUGGAUGGACCCGCGUCGCAUUAGCUAGUUGGUGAGGUAACGGCUCACCAAGGCAACGAUGCGUAGCCGACCUGGGAGGGUGAUCGGCCACACUGGGACCGAGACACGGCCCAGACUCCUACGGGAGGCAGCAGUAGGGAAUCUUCCGCAAUGGACGAAAGUCUGACGGAGCAACGCCGCGUGAGUGAUGAAGGCUUUCGGGUCGUAAAACUCUGUUGUUAGGGAGGAACAAGUGCUAGUUGAAUAAGCUGGCACCUUGACGGUACCUAACCAGAAAGCCACGGCUAACUACGUGCCAGCCGCCGCGGUAA
rnacentral:rRNA from 1 species